UACAGAGGGUGCAAGCGUUGCUCGGAAUCAUUGGGCGUAAAGGGUAGGUAGGUGGUCUCAUUUGUGUGGGGUGAAAGCCUUGGGCUUAACCCAAGAAGUGCCCCGCAAACGGUGAGACUGGAGUCCUAGAGAGGUUAGCGGAAUUCCCGGUGUAGCGGUGAAAUGCGUAGAGAUCGGGAGGAACACCAGAGGCGAAGGCGGCUAACUGGAUAGGCACUGACACUCAACUACGAAAGCGUGGGGGAGCAAACAGG
rnacentral:rRNA from 1 species